rnacentral:tRNA from 1 species
UAGCUCAGUUGGUAGAGCAUGGUGUUUGCAACGCCAGGGUUGUGGGUUCGAUUCCUAC